AUUGAACGCUGGCGGCAGGCCUAACACAUGCAAGUCGAGCGGAUGAUGGGAGCUUGCUCCUGGACUCAGCGGCGGACGGGUGAGUAAUGCCUAGGAAUCUGCCUGGUAGUGGGGGACAACGUUUCGAAAGGUACGCUAAUACCGCAUACGUCCUACGGGAGAAAGCAGGGGACCUUCGGGCCUUGCGCUAUCAGAUGAGCCUAGGUCGGAUUAGCUUGUUGGUGAGGUAAUGGCUCACCAAGGCGACGAUCCGUAACUGGUCUGAGAGGAUGAUCAGUCACACUGGAACUGAGACACGGUCCAGACUCCUACGGGAGGCAGCAGUGGGGAAUAUUGGACAAUGGGCGAAAGCCUGAUCCAGCCAUGCCGCGUGUGUGAAGAAGGUCUUCGGAUUGUAAAGCACUUUAAGUUGGGAGGAAGGGUUGUAGAUUAAUACUCUGCAAUUUUGACGUUACCGACAGAAUAAGCACCGGCUAACUCUGUGCCAGCCGCCGCGGUAAUAC
rnacentral:rRNA from 1 species